GCGGGCGGCGGGCUACCUGCAGUCGAACGGGCACUUCUGUGCUAGUGGCAGACGGGUGAGUAACGCGUGGGAACGUGCCUUUCGGUUCGGAAUAACCCUUGGAAACUUGAACUAAUACCGGAUACGCCCUUCUGGGGAAAGAUUUAUUGCCGAUGGAUCGGCCCGCGCCUGAUUACUUAGUUGGUGAGGUGAUGGCUCACCAAGGCGACUAUCAGUAGCUGGUCUGAGAGGAUGAUCAGCCACAUUGGGACUGAGACACGGCCCAGACUCCUACCGGAGGCACCGAUGGGGAAUAUUGAACCAUGGGGGCAACCCUGAUCCAGCCAUGCCGCGUGAGUGAUGAAGGCCUUACGGUUGUUAAGCUCUUUUGUCCGAGAGGAUAAUGACUGUACCGGAAGAAUGAUCCCCGGCUAACUUCGUGCCAGCAGCCGCGGUAGUACUAAGGGGGCUAGCGUUGCUCGGAAUCACUGGGCGUAAAGGGCGCGUAGGCGGACUCUUAAGUCGAGGGUGAAAGCCCAAGGCUCAGCCCUGGAAUUGCCUUCGAUACUGAGAGUCUUGAGGUCGGAAGAGGCCGGUGGAACUGCUAGUGUUUAGGUGAAAUUCUGAGAUAUUCGCAAGAACACCAGUGGCGAAGGCGGUCCUCUGGUCCGAUACUGACGCUGAAGCGCGAAAGCGUGGUGAGCAACAGGAUUAGAUACCCUGGUAGUCCUGCCGUAGACGAUGAAUGCCAGCCGUUGGAGUGCAUGCACUUCAGUGUGGCAGCUACGCUUUAACAUUCCGCCUGGAAGUACGGUGCGCAAGAUUACACUCAAGGAAUUGACGGGGUCCGCACAAGCGUGGAGCAUGUGGUUUAUUCCAAGAACCAC
rnacentral:rRNA from 1 species